AUGGACGGAACAGCCGCAAGACUCCAAACACCUUUUUCUUUGGAUGCUCUGCCUCUGCUAGUCCCCUCCGGCGCUGAUUUCGAGCCAGCCAGGCGAAUUGACGCUGGCUCCGCGAUCUUGCAGGUGUGCAUUUUGGCAGUCUGCCAUUGCCGAGGGCGGGGGAGAGGCGCUUCGGUCUCGGCGGGGGCGAUGGAGGGGCGGGGGAGGCGGCCGCGGAGCCCGGAGCGGCAGAGGCCGCCGGCGAGGAAGGUGCCGGUGGUGUACUACCUCACGCGGAGCUGCCACCUCGAGCACCCGCACUUCGUCGAGGUGCCGGCGCCCUCCUCCUCCGACGGGCUCUACCUCCGAGAUGUGAUUCGUCACCUCAACAUGGUGCGCGGCAAGGGCAUGGCCUCCAUGUACUCCUGGUCCUGCAAGAGGAGCUACAAGAACGGAUUCGUGUGGCACGAUCUCGCCGAGGACGACCUCGUCCUCCCGGCCACCGACGGCGAGUACGUGCUCAAGGGCUCCGAGAUCCUGGACCAACCUUCUUCAGGCCAAUUUCACCAUGGGAGUAAUGGCAACCAGAAGCAGCAGAGCAGGGUGAAAGAGGGUACAAGGUUGCCUUUGUCAAGGGAGGCCUCCUUCUCCUCCUCCCCACCUAGUGUGACAGUUAGAGAAGCCAAGCCUCGGCGCGUGCCGUCGGUGCCUUCACGGGACGAGGACGACUCCCCCUCACCCUGCCGGGGCACCUCCUCGGAGACAAUGUCGCCGGAGUCGGAGCCUCAGAGGACUGUCAUGUCAUGGCCGACGCCGGCAGAAUUCAGGGUUUUCAAGCCUACCGGUUUGAUGGAUGCCGCAACUCAAACCGAUGACCUCGGCAGAAGAUCAGCUCGGAGAGUACCUGAGAUGCAUAAGAAGAGCCUGAGCACCGAUCAUGACGCUGUGGUUCGUGAUGUCACCGAGUACCGGCAACAGAGCCAUCCGCGCCGUGUUGACAGGUAG
rnacentral:rRNA from 1 species